ensembl:lncRNA
CGGGAACAUCACCUUUGCAAAUUCAUCUCUUGCCUGCAAUAUGAGGAAUAUCUCCGGCUUUGUUUCUCUAUUAUAAUAGAUGUAAAUUAAUGUUUUGCCUUUGUUUGCCGUGGUAAUCAUAGAGGCAAGUGUAUAUUCCUAACAGCUAUCUUAUUUUCAAUUUGCAAAGCAUACUGUGCUUAAUCCCACGAGCCAGCCCAUGGCUUCAGAUAUGAAUUUUAAAAGAUAAUUAGCCCAGUGCAGGAGGUGCUCUCUGAGACAAGGAGUGUGCACCAAAGUCUGGUCAGAAGAGUCCUUUGGGGGACCCCGUUGGGUCACAGAUUCUCCACCAACCCCCGUGGUUUAUUACUUUUUUUCAUUGCUGCUGUCUUUGUGAGAACCAGAUGAUUUGUUCAUGAAAAUUUAAAUCAUGUUCAUACUAGAAGCUGAAAUUUCUUUUCGGGGUUGUUAUUUGAGGAUUCUCCCACCAGCCUCCACCAAUAUUUUUUCAUGAUAUUCGUGGCAGGUGACAAUUUAUUUUCUGUUUUUUUCUUUUUUUUUCUUUAUAACUCUAACUGAAAGACAGCACGAGGUCUGUGGUUGUUGUUUGUAAUGUUGAUACCUAUGGCAGAUUAAGUGACCAUUCAUUAGAAAAAGCCACAGAAGGCCCUGGGUCCAAAAGACGAAUGCCCUUCCCGGCUUCCACCAUGGACUCUGCCUGCAAGAACUUUACCCCCAGCAGGAAAUCAGUUACGAAAACAAGCACACGUUUCAACGGGCUGAAGAAACGUGCCGGUCUGCCUGCAGCACGGGAUAUUAGCCGACUGUUCCUCGCACACAGGGCUGGCUUUGCUUUUGCUUGGCUGUCGAGGUGACACAUGCACACGAGUGGAACCUCUGUGCCUAGCACUGUGCUGGGACUCUGGGGGGAUGCACAGGUGAGCAGGUGCAGCCCACGCUGUCAGGAAUACCCUGAGAACCUGGCAACACUCCCGGGACUCAAGAAGGCAGGUGGGAUGAGAACUACAACAGAGGUGCAAAUGGAAAUGAUGCUACAUGGCUCCUGGGAAGAUUUCUUUUGGGAUCCUUUCCUGCAAACCUGCAACACCCGUGAGCAUGCUCUGCAAUUCUGUGACUUUCCCCACCUGUCUCAUAAGAAGGCAAACUAGGGCUAAGACCACAUGUAGUCACAAAACCAGACCUGUUUCCUGCCCUCGUUCUUCCCCUCCUCCACCUUGGAUGGAUUUUCGUACAACUUUGAUGAAAAUAACUAGGAGGACAUAAAGAUCUCUGUAGGUAGAUCCUCUUAGGAAGUCCAACAUCCCUGGACAGCUGAGGAUCCCGGAUUUCUUGGUGGACACGUCAACCCAGGAGUCCACUGUGGUGGAGACACAGCCGGAGCCCAGGCGUGCUGUGUGGAUUAACUGAGUUAAUGUCUGGGAAAUGCUCAGAAGGGAGAGUUCUGAACACAGAGAAAGCAUGUUACUAUCAUUAUUAUUUGAAAGGAAUUGGAGGUCAAUUAUUUGCUAUCUUACAUUAGAUGAAUCUUUAUUUUAUCACCUCUCUUACCACAAAAAGUGUUCUCUUCCUACAAAAAUGUCUUUUUUCUAAUUUGCCUUGAAGUCAAAUCCUAGCAAAACCAAGCUGUUGUUAUUAAUAGCUACAUAAAUGCCAGAAAAUAGGUCAGCACCCUCUUUUUCUCCCAG